AUUGAACGCUGGCGGCAUGCCUUACACAUGCAAGUCGAACGGUAACAGGUCUUCGGAUGCUGACGAGUGGCGAACGGGUGAGUAAUACAUCGGAACGUGCCUAGUAGUGGGGGAUAACUACUCGAAAGAGUGGCUAAUACCGCAUGAGAUCUACGGAUGAAAGCAGGGGAUCGCAAGACCUUGUGCUACUAGAGCGGCCGAUGGCAGAUUAGGUAGUUGGUGGGAUAAAAGCUUACCAAGCCGACGAUCUGUAGCUGGUCUGAGAGGACGAGCAGCCACACUGGGACUGAGAAACGGCCAAGACUCCUACGGGAGGCAGCAGUGGGGAAUUUUGGACAAUGGGCGCAAGCCUGAUCCAGCAAUGCCGCGUGCAGGAUGAAGGCCUUCGGGUUGUAAACUGCUUUUGUACGGAGCGAAAAGCCCCGGGUUAAUACCCUGGGGUCAUGACGGUACCGUAAGAAUAAGCACCGGCUAACUACGUGCCAGCCGCCGCCGUAA
rnacentral:rRNA from 1 species